rnacentral:rRNA from 1 species
GAUGAACGCUGGCGGCGUGCCUAAUACAUGCAAGUCGAGCGAACAGACGAGGAGCUUGCUCCUCUGACGUUAGGGGCGGACGGGUGAGUAACACGUGGAUAACCUACCUAUAAGACUGGGAUAACUUCGGGAAACCGGAGCUAAUACCGGAUAAUAUAUUGAACCUCAUGGUUCAAUAGUGAAAGACGGUUUUGCUGUCACUUAUAGAGGGAUCCGCGCCGCAUUAGCAAGUUGGUAAGGUAACGGCUUACCAAGGCAACGAUGGGUAGCCGACCGGAGAGGGUGGAUCGGCCCCCUGGAACUGAGGCCCGGUCCAGCCUCCUUCGGGGGGCCGCCGUAGGGAAUUCUUCGGCAUGGGGGAAAGCCGUACGGGGCCAAGCCGCGGGGAGGAUUAAGGGCUUCGGAUGCUAAAACUCUUGUAUUAGGGAAGAACAAAAGUGUAAGUAAAUAUGCACGGCUUUACCGUACCUUAUCCGAAAGCCCAGGCUAACUACGUG